GAUGAAGAACGCAGCGAAAUGCGAUAAGUAGUGUGAAUUGCAGAAUUCAGUGAAUCAUCGAAUCUUUGAACGCACAUUGCGCCCCAUGGUAUUCCGUGGGGCAUGCCUGUUCGAGCGUCAUUUACCCCCUCAAGCUCCGCUUGGUGUUGGGCGUCUGUCCCGCUUCGCGCGCGGACUCGCCCCAAAGGUAUUGGCAGCGGUCGUGCCAGCUUCUCGCGCAGCACAUUGCGCUUCUCGAGGCACCGGUGGGCCCGCGUCCAUCAAGCUCACCCCCCCAGUUUGACCUCGGAUCAGGUAGUGAUACCCGCUGAACUUAAGCAUAUCAAUAAGCGGAGGA
rnacentral:misc_RNA from 1 species